GAAGCCGAAGCCGAAAAUGGCAGUCAUGCUGCUUUUCUUCCCCUCUCAUCAGGGGCAUUUCACGAGGAAUUCGAGAGCGACUCGGUCCAUUAUUGUACCUUGCCUUCCAACGACGUUGACGGUAGCCCCAUGCGCUGCUUAAGAAGAGCAAAGGAUUUGCUGUUAGAGAUAUUGAAUGAACUGUGGUCACCUCCCAGUGUUGCCGCACUCAUAGGGUUUACCGUCGGUGCAAUCGACAAGCUGAGACCACUCGUCACGGAGGAAGACGGCCCUCUCCGAGUAGUCCAAGACACCGCAAAGUUACUUGGAGACGCCGCGAUACCAUGCACCGUCCUCAUACUUGGCGGAAACCUUACAAAAGG